CAGUAACGCAUCAAAAACCUGUAUUGCGAGCUGGCAUCAAAAACGUAGAAGAAGAAGAAAAGCCCUUCAACUGAUGUGAUUUCUGGAUCCUUCUUUCACUUCAGGACUGCCGUGCAAGCGGUGUCUUCUGUUUCGCGUCUCUUUUGAGUAAAAUGGAAAUUCCUUGAAGCCUUCAGAGAGCAUUCAUCUGGCCAAGUUAAUGUUAUAUAUUGGGCAUGAGUUUGAUGCCACCUUUGCCAUGAGUUUCUCGCAUCUGCUACAACGAAGGAGAAACGCUUACUUUGCUGUGGUGUUGGAUCACCAAGUGUUCAUUUUGAGCAAGGCAAGAUAUUAGGACAGCAGUGAAUAUUGCAUAUUACUGUGAGAUUGACAUGUAACGUUAUUGUUGGUGCAUUUGUUGUUCAAAUGCGGAGUAGUGUUGUAACCCAGAGGUGAAAACUGUUUUUGGAUGAAUAAAUGUUCAGCUAAAUAAAGAGGAAAAAAAUCUUUAAAGAAAGAAGCUGUUGUCUUUUUCCCCCCGCAUUGUUUCUUACAAGCGUGUAG
rnacentral:lncRNA from 1 species